AAACACAAAGAUAAAUCAAACGAGUUCCUAGAUCAUCCUCUCUUCCUUGCCAUGAUUCCACGAUCACACUUUAUCUUUACCUGCACCAAAAAGAAAGAGAUGCGUAAGUAUUAUCACAAAUACUUAGUGAGGCGAUCAUCCCAUCUACGAGCUAUACACACAACCAAUUAAAAGAGUAUAAUCACAAAUACAUCAUAAACAAACCAGUCAUUGAACAAUUCACCCAAAAUACAUUCACCACACCUACAUACCAUCACACAAAACAAAACAUACAACCCAAUCGCUCAGAUAAGCUCAUGGUCACGCACUCACCUUAACAAAUUGAUUCUAACAACAAUUAAACCCAGGAGAGACUCUCCUUGCGUCUAAAACAGUCCAGAAACGUCCUACAACAAGUCACAACUAAAAGCAACCUUGAAGCAAACUGGACAUAAAAAACAGAAACAACCAGUCUCAAAGACGAAACCCUAAAAUACAAACUAACCGUUAACUAUUAAAUCCCUCCGGUGAAUCGCUAGCCUUAGACGUCAAAAAGCUUCCCACAAAAACCCGUGCCGAUCGGAAAUCAGAUGAGACUACGAUCGCAGUUACAAUCCCCGCUGGACCUAAUUCGUGUCUGAGAAAACGCAUCUCACGAAACUGCGAAUAACUCAACUAAUUUU
rnacentral:sRNA from 1 species